CAAGACGAAAGCAGGGGAGCGAAACGGAUUAGAUACCCUGUAGUUCUGCCCGUAACGAUGAACAUUAGGUCGGAGAAUCGAUCUCUUCAGUGUCGUAGCUAACGCGUUAAGUGUCGCCUGGGAGUACGCACGCAAGUGUGAAACUCAAAGGAAUUGACGAGAAUCGCACAAGCGGUGGAGUAUGUGGUUUAAUUCGAUGCAACGCGAAGAACCCUUACCAGGUCUUGACAUACCUGCGAACCUCUUAGAAAUAUGAGAGUGCUUUCGGGAAUGCAGUGCACGGGGUGGUGCAUGGCGGUCGUCAGCUCGUCGGGUGAGAUGUUGGGUUAAUUGGCGCACGGAGGCGCAACCCACGUUUUUAGUUGCCAGCAUUAGUUGGGCACUUUAGAGAGGCCGCCGGUGAUUAACCGGAGGAAGGUGUGGAUGGCGUCAAGUCAUCAUGCCCCUUACACCCUGGGCUACCCACGUAGUACAAUGGUACGGACAAAGGGCAGCAAACUCGCGAGAGCUAGCAAAUUCCAUAAAACGUGGUUCAGUUCAGAUCGUAGGUUGCAACUUGCCUACGUGAAGUUGGAAUCGGUUGUAAUUGCAGGUCAGCCUAGUGCGGUGAAUACGUUUCCGGGCUUUGUACCCCCCCCCCGUCCCCCCAUGGAAAUUGGCCAUCCCCGAAGUCGUUACUUCAACCCUUGUGGAGGAGGACGCCGAAGGUGGGGUUAAUGACUGGGGUGAAGUCGUAACAAGGUAA
rnacentral:rRNA from 1 species